UUUUAUUAUUUAUUUGUUAUCUUUUAUUCUAUAUAAAUUAAAAUGGAUUAAAAAAAAAUUAUAUGAAAAAGAAAAGGAUAUUCACUGUAUGGUUCAAAAUAUUGAUGACAAAUACGUCAAAAAUUUAAAAACGGAUGAACAUAAUAAUAUACCAACAAUUAAUAAAAUGAAUAAUAAUAUGCAAAAUAAAGAUAAUUACGUGAUGCUUGAAUUUGCUAAUGGAAAAAAAGAGGAGGUGCAAAAUGAUGCAAGCGCACAGGUAGACGCAAAAGAAAAAAAAGAAGCAAAACCAAAAGAAGUGAAAAACUCACAAAAUAUACAAGAUAUUAAAAAAAAAAAAUUAUCUAUGUAUUGUUCCGAUAUAUUUUCCUUAUUUUUCGAAUUUGAUUCAUCUUUCGAUUCGUCUUUCGAUGAAAAUUAUAAACUACAUACAGAAGAUAUAAUAGAAAGUAUGAAAAAAACAAAAAGCAUGAUUCCUAUAAGUAUUAUAGAUUUUAUAAUUAAUUAUAAUUCUUCAUAUCAAAAAAACGAAGGACUAUUUAACACGCAUAAUUUUAACAAUGAUAAUAAAAAAUUACAAAACACAUUUACCCAACAAAUGGAUGAAAAUUUAUGUAUACAAAUAAAAAUCUCAGACUUAUUACAUUUCUAUAGUAAGGAAAAAUCUUAUAUAUUUAUUUUCAUCAGAUUGUUAGACAAUAAAAUUGUUUUAAGUAAACUCAAGUCCAUUAACUCAUAUAAUUUAGUCAUAGAGAAUUUUAUUUAUUUAAAACAUGUUGACGAAUUUUUAUAUUAUAAAAAAAACCAUUUGAAACAUACAUUUGAAAAUUCCCAAAAAAAGAAAUUUUUAUAUAUAAUUAUACAACAUGUCAACGAAAAAAAAGAUACUCAAUUUAUCGAUCCUGAAAUUAAGUUGGGUAUCACUAAUCAACAAAUAAUCAAUAAAAGCAACAAUUUUUUUACUAAUGAAAAAAAUACAACAAAAAAACCACAACAUAAUAAAAAAGUGUUUAUCAAAAGAAAUUAUAAAGAAUAUACACCUUCACACAAUGAAAACGUUAGUAAUAAUAACAUCUCAAAUAAAACAGCUUUAAAUAACUUUGUUACCACGCUGCUAAAAAAUAACAUUAAAAAUGUUACUAUACUAGAAAAACAAUCGAAUGUUCAUGUAAUAAAUGAUGAAAAAAAAAAUACAGAAAAAAAAGUAACUGAUAAUAAAUCAUUAAAAGAAAAUGGUUUUAUAUUUCAAAUGUUUCAAAAAAUGAAAACCAAAAUAUACGAUAAUGUUACAAAAGAUCAUGAGUUGAAUAAAAACCAUUCACCACAAAUGAAUUCCUCACAAAAUAACAACUUGAAGUUAUUGCUUAACAAUGAACCCAACAUUCUUAAUGAUAAACGAAUAAAACAAAAUUUAAGUUUUAAGCAGGAUAAUAAAAAUGUAAUUGUAUAUUCUAAAAACAAUCAAAAAACCAUGAACGACGAUAAAACAAAAAAUAAAAUUCACAAAGAAUUGGAAAAUAUGUUACAACAAAAAAAGCAUAAAAAUGCGACUGAUCUCAUUAUACAAUAUAAGCAAAACAUUGGAACAAAUCAAAUUAUUAAUCUAACAAAAAAUAUAACUAGCACAAAUUCUAAUAUAUAUAUUAAAAACAAUUUUAAUACUAUAAAAAAAAGCUCGAAUGUAAAAAAUAAUGUUAUUUUUAAAAAAAGCAAAAAACUGAAAUUAACUAAAAGCGUAAUUGUAAGUGCUGGUGUGCGCUUAAACAAAAAUACAAACCAUAUUAAUACAAUGUAUUAUGAUUUAAAAAAAAAAACAAAAAACACAAAACUAAAAAAAAAACAUAUCCACUAUCAAAAAAAAAAUGAAGGUAACUUAAAUAAGACAAAAAUAUAUACUAGCUUAGCUCGUUUGCGUAAUAAGAACAAUUUAAAUAAAAAUAAAAAUGCGAUAACUACAUUGCCCCAAAAUAAAAUCAAUGACAAAACAAAUGAUGUAUUUAUCAAUAAGACAAUUUUUAAUAAAAACAUUAAUAUGAAAGAAAACAAAAAACUUACAUAAUGCAAAAAAAUUAACUUUUCUACAUACACAUGAUUAAUUUUACAUGCAAUUAUUAUAACAGAAAAGAACAUUUCAAAAAUUAUAUAAAAAAUGUUUUUCAAGAAAUAUUGCUAAACUAAAAUUUUAUAAAAACUUAAAUGUCACAAACCAUUUUUACAAAAGAUGAAUAUACAUUACAUUUUAACUAUGUGAAAAAUAAUGCUACAACAAUACAAGGUCACAAAAACUAGAAAAAAAAACUAAAAGUGAUUUAGUUGUUACCAUAUAUACAAAAAAAAUAAAAAUAAAAUAAAGUAAUAGAUAAAAUUAUAU
rnacentral:lncRNA from 1 species